CGGGUGAGUAACGCGUGGAUAACCUGCCUCACACUGGGGGAUAACAGUUAGAAAUGACUGCUAAUACCGCAUAAGCGCACAGUACCGCAUGGUACAGUGUGAAAAACUCCGGUGGUGUGAGAUGGAUCCGCGUCUGAUUAGCCAGUUGGCGGGGUAACGGCCCACCAAAGCGACGAUCAGUAGCCGACCUGAGAGGGUGACCGGCCACAUUGGGACUGAGACACGGCCCAA
rnacentral:rRNA from 1 species